rnacentral:rRNA from 1 species
CAAUAGCGUAUAUUAAAGUUGUUGCAGUUAAAAAGCUCGUAGUUGGAUUUCGGGGCAGCCUGGCUGGUCCGCCGCAAGGCGAGUACUGGUCAGCCGCCCUUCCUCUCGAAAGCCCCGACUGCUCUUCGUUGCAGUGGUCGGGUAGUUCGGGACGUUUACUUUGAAAAAAUUAGAGUGUUCAAGGCAGGCCUACGCCUGAAUACAUUAGCAUGGAAUAAUGGAAGAGGACCUCGGUCCUAUUUUGUUGGUUUCCAGGGCCGAAGUAAUGAUUAAGAGGGACAGUUGGGGGCAUUCGUAUUUAAUUGUCAGAGGUGAAAUUCUCGGAUUUAUGAAAGACGAACAACUGCGAAGGCAUUUGCCAAGGAUGUUUUCAUUAA